rnacentral:rRNA from 1 species
AACUGCCUGAUGGAGGGGGAUAACUACUGGAAACGGUAGCUAAUACCGCAUAACGUCGCAAGACCAAAGAGGGGGACCUUCGGGCCUCUUGCCAUCAGAUGUGCCCAGAUGGGAUUAGCUAGUAGGUGGGGUAACGGCUCACCUAGGCGACGAUCCCUAGCUGGUCUGAGAGGAUGACCAGCCACACUGGAACUGAGACACGGUCCAGACUCCUACGGGAGGCAGCAGUGGGGAAUAUUGCACAAUGGGCGCAAGCCUGAUGCAGCCAUGCCGCGUGUAUGAAGAAGGCCUUCGGGUUGUAAAGUACUUUCAGCGGGGAGGAAGGUGUUGUGGUUAAUAACCGCAGCAAUUGACGUUACCCGCAGAAGAAGCACCGGCUAACUCCGUGCCAGCAGCCGCGGUAAUACGGAGGGUGCAAGCGUUAAUCGGAAUUACUGGGCGUAAAGCGCACGCAGGCGGUCUGUCAAGUCGGAUGUGAAAUCCCCGGGCUCAACCUGGGAACUGCAUUCGAAACUGGCAGGCUAGAGUCUUGUAGAGGGGGGUAGAAUUCCAGGUGUAGCGGUGAAAUGCGUAGAGAUCUGGAGGAAUACCGGUGGCGAAGGCGGCCCCCUGGACAAAGACUGACGCUCAGGUGCGAAAGCGUGGGGAGCAAACAGGAUUAG